UCGAGAAUCUUCCGCAAUGGACGAAAGUCUGACGGAGCGACGCCGCGUGAUGGAUGAAGGCCCUCGGGUUGUAAACAUCUGUCGUAGGGGAGGAAAUUUUGACCGAUCCUAGGAGGAAGCGCAGGCUAAGUUCGUGCCAGCAGCCGCGGUAAUACGAACUGCGCAAACGUUAUUCGGAAUCACUGGGCUUAAAGGGUGCGUAGGCGGGUUAGUAGGUCAGAUGUGAAAGCCCACGGCUCAACCGUGGAAUUGCGUUUGAAACCACUAGUCUUGAGGAAGUCAGAGGAGAGCGGAACUGAUGGUGGAGCGGUGAAAUGUGUUGAUAUCAUCAGGAACACCGGUGGCGAAAGCGGCUCUCUGGGACUUUUCUGACGCUGAGGCACGAAAGCCAGGGGAGCGAACGGGAUUAGAUACCCCCGUAGUCC
rnacentral:rRNA from 1 species